rnacentral:rRNA from 1 species
UACGGAGGGUCCGAGCGUUAUCCGGAAUUAUUGGGUUUAAAGGGUCCGUAGGCGGGCCGAUAAGUCAGGGGUGAAAGUCUGCGGCUCAACCGUAGAAAUGCCCUUGAUACUGUCGGUCUUGAGUUAUGGUGAAGUGGGCGGAAUAUGUAGUGUAGCGGUGAAAUGCAUAGAUAUUACAUAGAACACCGAUUGCGAAGGCAGCUCACUAACCAUAUACUGACGCUGAUGGACGAAAGCGUGGGGAGCGAACAGG